CAAGAACCUAUUUAAGGUAUAUCUAACGCUCCAAUAGCUCUACAUCAGGUGAAAAAUAAUUCUGAUUAGCAUGUAAGAGGCCUACACGCAAGUAAUAAUAACUGGGACUAACGAGUUAUUAUUGCUGGCAGAUCGGGUCGUUGCAAUUGGUAUCAAAUCCGAAUACCAGCUGGAAGUGUGAGAGCUAAGUGCUAUGUAGGGCAAAGUGCUACACCAAUAGAUUUGGUGGGAGCUACCUCUUAAACCUGCAGGAGCCACCUCUAGAAUUUCACAUCGCUGGUCUGCCACAUCGCCUGAUAAUUCUAAUCUGUAUCUGUGAUUUGGUUUGGACCCAACGAGGACGUUAGGGUUUAAAUAGGAGGAGUUUGUAACGCCCCAAUAGUCGCCUGAUAAUUCUGGUCUGCCACAUCCCCUGAUAAUUCUGGUUUGUAUCUGUGAUCUGGUUUGGACCUAACGAAGACAUCAAGGUCUAAACAGAAGGAGUUUGUAACGCCCCAAUAAUCCCACAUUGGGUGGAAAAAUGAUUCUGAUUAGAGUAUAUGAGACCUACAAGCUAGUAAUAAUAACUGGGCUUAAGCAUUUUGGGUCGGUGGUUUAAGCCCAACGAGUUAUUAUUGCUAACGGGUUGGAUCGUUAUAUAUGUUAUGUAUGAAUAUUAAAUGUGGGCCAAAUUGUGAGUAUUGAUCCAUCUCUCUCUUUCUCUCUCUCUCUCAUGUGCACAAUCUCUCUCCCUCUCUCUCUAUCAUAUACUCUCUUUCUCUCUCUCUCUCAUGUGCACAAUCUCUCUCCCUCUCUCUCUAUCAUAUACAGAGAAGUGAUACUUAAAUAACUUCAAGUUCUUAGAGAAAAAUAAUUUGGGUCAACUUGAGAGUACUGAUCAAU
rnacentral:lncRNA from 1 species